rnacentral:rRNA from 1 species
GCCUGUGGCCAUACCACCCUGAAUGUGCCUGAUCCUGUCUCAUCAUCUCAAAAGCUAAGCAGUGUUGGGCCUGGUUAGUGCCUAGAUGGGAAAAGGGGACACUCCAGGCUGCAGAAGGCA